UGAUUAUAGCUCCAGAUUGAACUUGCUGGCGGAGGAUUACUUACACAUGCAAGUCGAACGGCAGCCUGGACUUCGGUCUGGUGGUGAGUGGCGAACGGGUGAGUAAUGUAUCGGAACGUCGAUACCUAGUAACGCGGGGGUCGCUACGAAAGCGUAUGUCCCCAUACGCCCUUCGAAGGAAAGCGGGGGACCUUCGGGCCUCGCACUAUUAAACGUGAUAUCAGGUUAGCCGUUGGUGGGGUAACGGCUCACCAAGGCGACGAUCAGCGUAGCUGUUUGAGAGGACGAUGACCACGCAGGACUGAACGGCCCGAACUCUCUGCAGGAGGCAGCAGUGGGAAUUUUGGACAAUAAACCUGAUCCAGCCAUCCCGCGUGUGCGAUGAGGCGCUGGGUUGUAAAGCACUUUUGGCGGGAAAGAAACAGCACGGGAUAAUACCCCGUGCAUAAUGAUACUACAGAAUAGCACAACUAACUACGUACCCAGCAGCCGCGGUAAUGGCGGAGUGCAGCGUUAAUCGGAAUUACUGGAAGGCGUAAAGCAAUGCACAGUGAGUUCGGAAAGAAAGAUGUGAAAUCCCAGGCUUAACUUUGGAACUGUUUACAUUUUUAACUACCGAGCUAGAGUGUGUCGAAGGUAGAAUUCCGCGUGUAGCAGUGAAAUGCUGGCGAUAUGCCGGAGAACACAGUGUGAAAGGCAGCCUCCUGGGAUAACACUGACACUCUGCACGAAAAGCGUGGGGGAGCAAACGGGAUUAGAUACCUGGUGAUCCACGCCCCUAAACGGUAUAAACUAGCUAUUUGGGGCCUUCGGGCCUUGGUAGCAACUAACGCGUGAGAUUGACCGCCUGGGGGUACGGUCGCAAGAUUAAAACUCAAGGAAUUGACGGGGACACAAGCAGUGGAUGAUGUCGGAUUAA
rnacentral:misc_RNA from 1 species